GGGGGAGAGGAGACAGGAACACUGUCAGCACUGCCAUCUCCACAUACGCAGGACACUGUACAUUUUGCAAUACAUAUUAAACAUCGGGUGAUCUUGUUUUCAGAUGUUCACUGCACGUGGCUUUAUUAGAAACCGCCUGCCAGAGUCUAGACACAGCCAUGGAGUCUGGUGACCUGUGGGAGGGAGCAAGGGCCAGAAUUCCCGCUGAGUCGCCCCAGCCCUCCACCUUAAUCCCCUUCUUAACUUUCCAUCUGCUACUGGAUGCUUGCAGCAGAACCACAACCUGCCAGCCCCUACCCAGCUCCAAACCCCCUCUCUCCCCCGCAGGCGCGCAGCAACCGCCGCGGCAACCCCUUCCCGCGGGACCCGGCAGGCUGGGCGGGGGUGCGGCGGGGGCGGAGCCCGACGUCCUGCUGCUGCUGCCGCCGCUGCCGCCACCGCCGCCUGCGAAGCUGCCUCCCCUUCCACGGAUGCUCCGGCGGGGCAGCGCUGCCCUGCGUGGACAGAUGGGCGCCCCCCGGGCCUGACGGACGAGCAGCCGGGCACGUGAACUCCCGCCUCCAAUUUAGCUCUGUGCCCCGCGCCGGCGGCUGUGGCUGCAGCCCCGCGGUGGGGGCGGCCCCCGCGGUCUCCGCUUGGCUCCUGCGCGCCGCCUCUGCUCUUUGCAUAGUAAUUUCAGUUCCUGCAAGCACCCAGCUCGCUCCCGGAACAGGUCUGAGAAGGACCGCCGCUCCCGAGCACACCGGAGCCAUCCGUGUGGCGCUGAGAGCCACUGCUUGGGAUAUGCGACGGGAAGCCCCCGCCACAGCGCAGGCAGUGACCCCGCCACGCUGGGGAGAGCCGGGCGACAGCAGAUCUUGGAAUGAAGAUCUGAAAUGAUGGGAAAAGAUUUAAAAAAAAUUAUUAACUCCCAAGGAUGAAAAGAAUGGUAGAGAGGACCUCAGGAAACAACAUAUUUCAACAAAUUCUCAGAAGAUGGAAAGUAGAUGGAGGAGUAGUAAUGAAUUUAAUGGAGUAGAAGAAGUGACGACCUGAAGACCCGCAGAAAGGAUUACCCCAGAUAAGAAGUGAGUGCAUUUUCCUUGUGCAAGUGGAGGAAUGGCAGUGGAGGUACCAACUACUUCAGAAGGAUGUGGGGUCAGGAUCUGUAAAUGGAGGACUGACUGAAAGAUUAUAAACAACAUGCUCAGAUGGCCAGGGCCCCGCUCCUACUGGGCAAGGAAGCAGCUACCUCUAGUUCCUCCCGCAACCAACUAUCCUUUCCUCUCCUCUCAAACAUUGAUUCUCUGGAGAAAAUGAGUAGAGAAGCCCCAGGCUUAAAGACACCAUGGAGAGCUGAAGUGAGAAGAGGGACUUCAAGUAGGGGCAUUAAAUGAAAAUGUGCAUGCUGAACCGUGGGAGCCUCCGCAUCCUUGAUUUUUUUUCAUAUUUUCCUGUAUUUAUUUGGUAACAAUAAAAAUUAAUUUAUGAAAAGAACUUGAUCUCA
rnacentral:lncRNA from 1 species